UACGUAGGGGGCAAGCGUUGUCCGGAUUUAUUAGGCGUAAAGAGCGUGUAGGCGGUUUGGUAGGUCCGCUGUGAAAACUCGAGCUCAACCUCGAGACGCCGGUGGAAACCAUCAGACUAGAGUCCGGAAGAGGAGAGUGGAAUUCCUGGUGUAGCGGUGAAAUGCGCAGAUAUCAGGAAGAACACCCGUGGCUAAGGCGGCUCUCUAGUACGGUACUGACGCUGAGACGCGAAAGCGUGGGGAGCGAACAGG
rnacentral:rRNA from 1 species